ensembl:lncRNA
CCAAUGGCGCUGCCGGGGAGGAGCCGCGGCCCCGGCCCGGCCCCGCCCGCCGCCCCCCGCCGCACUCGGCCUGGGUUCGGCGGAGCGGCGGGAGCUGCGGCUGCAGCUGCGGCGGCCCCGGACCCCGGGGGAGCGGUCCCGGCGCCCGGCUGGAGCGGCCUCUCCGCGCCCGAGGCACCGGCCCUGGAGUCACUGGCCACCUGCCCCGGAGGCACCUGCCGGACCCGAAGGAGCACGUGCAAUCCCUCUGCAAAACACAACCACCGGCCCCGGAAGGUGAGAGGUGAACGGUGAGCAGGGGGAUGCUGUUGGGGAAGAGCAGCUUGGAAAAGAGGACACUGGGCAGAGUGGCUUCAGCUUUGGGGCUCUCGUCAUUCUACAGGAAGGGGAUGGUGACCUGGAGCAUUGCCUGACGCUUACUGCACUGUGUUGUGGGGCAGGGAAUAGCAGGGACCCGAUAAACAAUAAGAGGUGUUUUGCUAAAGGUUCUAGACAGUGACUCAUCUACUGUAGGAAGGGACAAGAAGGAGAGGCAGCACAGGAGCUUUCUAGAGUACAAAUGGGUCUUUCCCCCUUUUUUUAUCAGAAGCAGGAGGUCAGGAAUCCCUUCUUACUCCCAGAACAGUGUAGAUGUGUAGGUUAUAAACCUCCUGAUGCAAGUGUCCCUGUACCAGCACCUCCUGCAUCCCUGUCCCUGGGGAGGAUCCUGCCUUCAGGCCACAUCCUGGGGUGGGACUGUUACAAAAUUUGGGGUGAUUUCCAGCCCUCACAGUCGAUAUUAUGUGAUCAUUCUUAGUCACUUCUGAGUCACUCCAAAUAAUUGAUCCUUGUCCAUACAUUGCACCAUGGUUCUGCGUGUGCCUGGCUGGGGUGUUUCAGAAGUCAUUUCCCUUGGCGCUGAGUUGCUCAGUCUUAACUUUUCUUUUGCAUCCAGCCUUCCUUCCUCAGGCUUUUCUGCCUUCUCCUGCCCUGGCCAGCACAGAGGAGGUGCAGUGCUGCUGCCUUUCACUUUUCCAGGUGUACUGCACCCUGAGAGGCCUCCCCAGCUAUUUGCAGCAUUGCUGACUGCCCCCACUUGAAAAGGUGUCUAUGUAAGGAGUUGUUUUGCUGAUAUUUGCCUGGAUUUGUUUUAUUUGCUGCUUCCAGUUUGCAGAGGAAUUGGUGCAGCCAGUUGGUCCUUGCUGACUGAGCACCUUGCUCACAAGGAGCAGCUGGCUUCCUCUCUCUGGGGAUUUAUGGCUUCUACACCACCUCUCCCCCUUUUCAUGCUGGGGAUAUACCUGGGAAUGCUGAUGGCUGAGCUGAUCUGGUGGUGGAUUUAUAAUCCCUCCCUGCAGGGAGGAAGGAAAGAUCCCCAGGCCCCCCAACAGACAGCCCUCAUGCCUCAUGUCAGUGGUUAAGUGCAGAUGACAAUAGCGAGGGUUUGCUGAGAAUUAUUCCUUUGCAAGAAGCAACUUUUGACCAAGAGUUGGUGUCUUUUUGAGACCCAUGAGUCUCUAAUCAUACCCUUUUCCAUUGCAAGGUGUUCUUUCACAAUUGGGCAGGCUCUUCAAACCCUCUAGGAAAUGGCUGUGGGGUCUGAGAGGGGUCCUGGGGCUGGUCCUGGCUGGUCCUUGCCCUGUUGCCCUGGGCACUUUAGAAUCUGGGGUUCUCACUUUAUCUGGGUUAAGCUCCCAAGGAAGGAGGUGUGACUUGAGAUCCAGAACUGGUUUGAGAGAUCAGAACUGGGCCAAUUUCUAGGCCAGAACGGGGCUCUGGGUGUCCCAAGGGCAGAUUUGGGCACAGAAACAGUUGAAGAUUAAGGUUCUCACCUCCCUUCAUUGCACAGGUGCCUUCUUCUGCUGAACGUGGAGGGGGUUAUCUCCCUGGCAUCUGCUGGGCAGGUAGCAGCACAUAUGGCAGGACAUAGCUUUAUUAUUCCUUUCAAAGCAUGAAAAACACCCCUUGCUGAGAGGUACUGGAGCUGUGAAAUGCAGACGGGGCUGCCCCCAGGAAUAGCAGCAGCCUAAGGGAAUGGAGAGAAAGCUUUUCUUCUUGCCGUACCACCUCACCCUCUGAAGAGAGCGUUCACUGUGUCUGCAUCCCCCAGAGGAAGGUUUAACAGCGCCAGGCUUUGCUGUAACCCUCAGGCACCGUGUGGAUGAGCCUGGAUGGAGAAAUGGCUGAAUGGGACAGUGCAUCUUUGCCUCUUUGUUUCAGUUCU